rnacentral:rRNA from 1 species
CAACAGGGAUUGCCCUAGUAACGGCGAGUGAAGCGGCAACAGCUCAAAUUUGAAAUCUGGCUCUCGGGCCCGAGUUGUAAUUUGUAGAGGAUACUUUUGAUGCGGUGCCUUCCGAGUUCCCUGGAACGGGACGCCAUAGAGGGUGAGAGCCCCGUCUGGUUGGAUGCCAAAUCUCUGUAAAGUUCCUUCGACGAGUCGAGUAGUUUGGGAAUGCUGCUCUAAAUGGGAGGUAUAUGUCUUCUAAAGCUAAAUACCGGCCAGAGACCGAUAGCGCACAAGUAGAGUGAUCGAAAGAUGAAAAGCACUUUGAAAAGAGAGUUAAAAAGUACGUGAAAUUGUUGAAAGGGAAGCGUUUAUGACCAGACUUGGGCUUGGUUAAUCAUCUGGGGUUCUCCCCAGUGCACUUUUCCAGUCCAGGCCAGCAUCAGUUUUCCCCGGGGGAUAAAGACUUCGGGAAUGUGGCUCUCUUCGGGGAGUGUUAUAGCCCGUUGUGUAAUACCCUGGGGGGGACUGAGGUUCGCGCAUCUGCAAGGAUGCUGGCGUAAUGGUCAUCAACGACCCGUCUUGAAACACG